GUUUCUCUUACACUGUUUAGUAUUAAAAAAGAACAGUCUGUUCUUAUCUGUUUAAUAUCUGAUAUAUCCUCUAUUUGACAAUAUAUUAAAUGGACUUUUGGAACAGGAAGACUGACCUAGAGCAUGCUCUAUCCACUCCAUACAUGGACCUGGUAUUGCAGUACCUGCAGGAGCCGUGCACCUCUG